UACGAAGGGUGCAAGCGUUACUCGGAAUUACUGGGCGUAAAGCGUGCGUAGGUGGUUCGUUAAGUCUGAUGUGAAAGCCCUGGCUCAACCUGGGAAUGGCAUUGGAAACUGGCGAUCUAGAGUGCGGUAGAGGGUAGUGGAAUUCCCGGUGUAGCAGUGAAAUGACGCAGAUAUCAGGAAGAACACCAAUGGCGAAGGCAGCUCUCUGGGACGGUACUGACGCUGAGACGCGAAAGCGUGGGGAGCGAACAGG
rnacentral:rRNA from 1 species